CGCGUAGGCGGCCGAGUAAGUCCGACGUGAAAUCUGGAGGCUCAACCUCCAGCGGUCGUUGGAAACUACUCGGCUAGAGUCCGGAAGAGGAGAGUGGAAUUCCUGGUGUAGCGGUGAAAUGCGCAGAUAUCAGGAAGAACACCGAUGGCGAAAGCAGCUCUCUGGGACGGUACUGACGCUGAGGCGCGAAAGCGUGGGAGCGAACA
rnacentral:rRNA from 1 species